rnacentral:tRNA from 1 species
UUCUUAGAAGCUUGCAACAGCAGUGAAUUUUUACUUCAUUAAUAGAGGUAACCUCCUAAGAAG